AGGAUGAACGCUGGCGGCGUGCUUAACACAUGCAAGUCGAACGAUGAAGCCGGAGCUUGCUCUGGUGGAUUAGUGGCGAACGGGUGAGUAACACGUGAGUAACCUGCCCCUGACUCUGGGAUAAGCACUGGAAACGGUGUCUAAUACCGGAUACGAGCUUUAGCCGCAUGGCUAGGAGCUGGAAAGAAUUUCGGUCAAGGAUGGACUCGCGGCCUAUCAGGUAGUUGGUGAGGUAACGGCCCACCAAGCCUACGACGGGUAGCCGGCCUGAGAGGGUGACCGGCCACACUGGGACUGAGACACGGCCCAGACU
rnacentral:rRNA from 1 species